ACGGAAGGCAGCAGUGGGGAAUAUUGGGCAAUGGGCGCAAGCCUGACCCAGCGACGCCGCGUGAGGGAAGAAGAUCUUCGGAUUGUAAACCUUUGUUGAUGGGGACGAAAAGAAUGACGGUACCCAUCGAGGAAGCCACGGCUAACUACGUGCCAGCAGCCGCGGUAAUACGUAGGUGGCAAGCGUUAUCCGGAUUUACUGGGUGUAAAGGGUGUGUAGGCGGGAAUGCAAGUCAGAUGUGAAAAUUAUGGGCUCAACUCAUAACCUGCGUCUGAAACUACGUUUCUUGAGAGUCGGAGGGGUAACUGGAAUUCCUGGUGUAGCGGUGAAAUGCGUAGAUAUCAGGAGGAACACCGGUGGCGAAGGCGAGUUACUGGACGACAACUGACGCUGAGACACGAAAGUGUGGGGAGCAAACAGGAUUAGAUACCCUGGUA
rnacentral:rRNA from 1 species